rnacentral:rRNA from 1 species
CAGCCGCCGCGGUAAUACGUAGGGUGCAAGCGUUAAUCGGAAUUACUGGGCGUAAAACGUGCGCAGGCGGCUAUGCAAGACAGAUGUGAAAUCCCCGGGCUCAACCUGGGAACUGCAUUUGUGACUGCAUGGCUAGAGUACGGUAGAGGGGGAUGGAAUUCCGCGUGUAGCAGUGAAAUGCGUAGAUAUGCGGAGGAACACCGAUGGCGAAGGCAAUCCCCUGGACCUGUACUGACGCUCAUGCACGAAAGCGUGGGGAGCAAACAGGAUUAGAUACCCCGGUAGUCCCUGUCUCUUAUAA